AUAUUUUUUUUUUAUUAUAUUAUUUUUUUUUUUUUUUGUAACUUCAAAAUACUAAAUGGAAAAGGUUGUAUCUAAAAGAAUUACAAAUAAUGUAUUAAUAACAGAAAAGGGGGUUACAAAAGAAAAAAACAGUUUAAACAAUCCAAAGGUAAAUAUGAUCAAUAAAAAAAACACACUUGUUAAUAAUAACUUCAAUAAUGAAGAAGUAAAAAAAGAAUACUCAAAAAAAGUAAAAAGUGACAAGAUUUUCAUAAACCCAAUAGAGAAAAUAGAAAGCACUAAUUUAAUUAACAAAGUAAAUAAGGAGAAUGAUAAAGAAGAGACAAUAUGUGAAGAGUUAGAUGAAGGAAAAAAAAAAGUUCAAGCAAAAAGAUUAACUGUAAUUAAAAUGGACAAUGUAACUACAAAUUCAAACAGGAUGAAGAACUCUGUUGAUGGCGCUAGUAAUAAUAAUAAUAGUUUUAAAAAUUCAGAACACAACAUUUUGAAAGAUUUAAAAAAAAACAAUACUACAGCCACUGAAGCUACUACUGUGACCACCAUUGCUCAUACUACUACAGCUAGUAGUACUAAUAAUAGAUGCCAAAAUGUAGAGCAGAAAGAAAAUUUGUUAACCACUGACGAAACUAUAAUAUUUAGUAGUAACGGUGAUAACUCAAACGAUAACAAUGUUGAUUUGUUUAAUGAAAAUAAUUAUUUGAAUACGAAACAUAUGGAAUAUAAUUUGUUAAGUAAUAAACAAAUGAAAUUAGAUAAAGGACAUAUAACAGAGAAAGUAAGCUUACAUAACUAUUAUCAAUUAAAUAAUUCAGCGUUGAAUACUAGACAAGAUUUAGAGCAUAAAAAUAUAAAAGUAUAUAUAAAAAAUGAUAAAGGAUAUAAUACAAUCCCUCCUAAUAGUAGUAGUAGUAGUAGUAGUACUCACCCAUUAAAUUCGUUGAAAUUAAAAAAUAGUUACAAUGAAGUUAUAACUAAUAGGAUAAUAAAUAAUAAUGAUGAUAUGAUUGUUAAGAAUAAUUUGACUAAAGAUGGCACAAGUUCUAUUGAUAUAUAUAAUGUACCACAUAGCAGCGAAUAUAAUAAAUUGUUAAACAAACAUGCAGUUUAUAAAUAUAAAGAGAAAGCAGUUGAUUAUAAUAUUCUUACAGAUAUUAAUAAUGGCAAUGGAGAUAGUAAUAAAGAUAGUGAUAACAUGAAUGAUGACAACAAAAACUACAACAUAAGUGACCAAAACUACAACAUAAGUGACCAAAACUACAACAGAAGUGACCAAAACUACAACAGAAGUGNNNNNNNNNNAGUGACCAAAACUACAACAGAAGUGACCAAAACUACAACAGAAGUGAUCAAAACUACAACAUAAGUGACCAAAAUUACAACAGAAGUGACCAAAAUUACAACAGAAGUGACCAAAACUACAACAGAAGUGAUCAAAAUUACAACAAUCUCAGUAACCAACAGGAUGCGAAUACUCAUGUAGACACCCAAAUUAUAAACAACUUUAUUAAUAUGGAUAGUAAUUUUAUUAGUGAUAGUACUAGCAGCACCUGUACUAACCAUAUUGUGAGCAACCGAAAUUUCAAAAUUAAUCAAAAUGUGAAUGAAAAUUAUACUGACAAAAAUAACAACCUGUUGACUAAUUCAAAUAGAAUUAUAUCUAACAGAAAUGAAAAAAUAUUUGAACGAAAUGACGUACAUAACCAAAGCAGAGAAGUGAUGUUGAAUCAAAAAAAUGGAUCCAACAUAAAUUACAAUUAUAAUGAUUAUAAUUAUAAAGCGGUAAAUAAAAAUGAAAUGGAUGACA
ensembl:lncRNA